UUAAUGCAAAUUUUAAAGCUAUCAAUUAACCAUGAAUUCCCAAUCCAUUGAAAAUCACUUAGUGGUGUCAGCCUGUUGUUAGGGACUGACCUGCAAUUGCUCUAACAUUUGGAUCUUCUGUUCACAGCGCCAGACUGGAAAAGAGCUGAGUGCGUGUAAGUGAUGUAACUGAGGCACAGGCAGAAGGCACAGUGCCCAGACGAAGCAAGACUUUCACAGUCACCAAAUCAGUAAGGUUGGACCUAUAAGGACCACCCAGUCCAACCAUCUCCAGGACUACCAAAAUGGCAACUUCAUAAGACUGAAUACACAGGGAAGGACAAGAAAAACAGAACAAAUCCCAUACACCGCUAGCAUUGUUGAACAGCUAUUCAUGCUUAUGAGAUAAAAUUUCUAUAGCACCCAGUGUUUUGCUGAACUAUUAUAUAUUCCCUGAUACUAUUUUCUACGUCAUCUCCAGCAUCUCAGGCAUAGUAUCUUUAAAAAUAAUUUUGCUGCAAUAUUAGAAUGAAAUAGAGGGAGCCCACACUUUACAGAUAUUCCUCCUUAUCCAUUUGACAGUGCAUCCAAAUGCCCUGGUAACUGAAACAGCAGCAUGCCUUAGUGUCCCAGGUAACUGCACAAGACACUUGCUAGGAAACCUGUUCACAAACUGCUUUUUAAUCUGGUUUUAUGCUUUUGUUCACUCGUCCUUCUUUAAAAGUGGUGCUGAAGGGAAUUAUGUGACUUGUGUCGGGUUGCCUACAUCAGCUCCAGAGAAUAAAAGCCUGAGCCCAAGGCUCUCUGACCUCAGCUGCUCUACUGGCUGCCAAAACCCCAUCAGUUUGGUAGAGGGCACUCACUGGGAGGAGGCAGAAAGUCACACCUGUGUUCUUACAUUGCUCUCUGAACGCACUUGGAAAUGAAGAUCAAAGCAAAUUGUAGAAAAACGGAGCUUGAAGAACAGAGUUGUGGAAGCAGAUUGUUACCCGGCUCCUGCCAGCUCAGAGGGAAGAACAACUGAAUGAAGGGAGAGCAAUUCCCUUCCCAGACACAGCCCAAACCAAUGCUGAGGCUGCACUAUGGACAGAUCCAGGCCAGCGGGUGCUGGGAGUGGCACCACACACUUUGUGUAUGCACUGACAACACAGUCUUUGCUGAAAUGACUUCUUUUAAUCUAAACCCAAUCACUGCUUUGUAUCAUCACAGCGUAGCACUUUGUGCACUUCGGUCUAUGGCAGAUCGCUCAGCUCACGGGAGGGCUUUUCAAUAAACAAUGGCCAAGGCUUCUGUUCUGGUAGCACUGCUGCUGCCAGCUAUCCCUCCAAUCUGGGAUAGACUGCAGGGAUCAUCAUUUCUUUUUCAUGUGUUUAUAUGGCAUCUGGAAUCUCAAGCUUCUUGCCAUAACCGCAAACGCUAAUAAAAUGGCAACGUCUGCAACGCAUUUAUUGCUCUGAAAGAACACAAAAACCAUCUGGAAACUGCAAAUAUAUCAAGUUUAUUAAGAAAGGCAAAAUGGACCCUUUUUGUGCUAUUAGUACUACUGGCUUGUAAUCCCUUGAUGCAGUUUAGACAUCACAGGGUUUCUGAUUUUGUAUUCUGCCCAGAGGAUGAUAUAAAAGCCACUAUUGAUUUCUAUUCCCUGUAAGCAGGCUUCAUCUCUAUGUAAAUUAAAGAUUCUACAGUGUAUUUCACAUUAAAGAUUAGUUGUCAUUCCAGCGUUGAUCUAUUCUUUCACCAGCAGGGUGACAUAUUGGCAAGUUCCAGACAAUGAAAGAAGGAGUGCUGCACUUAAAUGAUGCUUCAGAAACCAUCAAUUGCCUUCAUCAUUUCAGGGGAUGAAUUAUCACUAUUUUUUUUCCACUGGAAAGGCACAGCUGAAGAUGCCAACAUCUUCCAUCUACUAACUAUGCAAGUCCUUUGUGCGUCCAGAGAAAUUCCAGACAUGAGAGAGGAAAAAAAGAAGCCAUAUGAAUGUGCUAGGACAUAGUAUUAAUCCAACACCUCAGCUGGCUUCUCCCUUAACCACAUUAUUUGGGAGUAGGGAACACGGGCACUGCAAGAGAGCUCUAACUGUACCUCAGUGAGGGAGUUUCCUAGGGGCUCUUCCCUUGGAGAUCAGGAACCAUUUGCUUUCUCAUAGCAUGACAGGAUUCACAGCUGAUCAGUCACUGUAUUUCAGGAGUGGGACCUUAGACCCAUCUCAGAGGCCCUUGCCACAUGCUGGAGAACAACCUUAGCAGUGACACCAAAUACUGGAUGCAGCCCUGAGCAGUUCUGGUGCAACCCACACAACUAAAGUCCCUUCCAAGCUGGGAUCCUAUGAAAGAGGAGCACUUUGCCUCUUCAGUCCUUCUCUAAUGGGCAGACACACAGCUCUCCCCUCCCCCUUGAUUACCAGCCUUUUCAAGCCAAAUGGUGCCCUCGGGUUAUUGCUCAUUAGGCUGCUGAGGUAGGAAUUUACAGGGGACCUCCUUUAGCAGGGAGGUGGACUAGAUGGUCUGUGAAAUCUCUGAGCAUACCAAAUUCACUGCACUUCUCCCAGGCAAGGCUAGAGAGAAACCAACAAGGUUUUCUGGUUUGGGUAUAUUCCCCUCAGCUACAGCCAUUGAAACUCUACUGUGUGAAUGCAGUAUGUACAGCUAAUUAUCUUAGUGACUUACAUUGCUGCAUAACAGAAGAAGAGCAGCACGCACACUGCCAGCCAUGCACAAUCUCCCCUGCAGAAAGAGGAAAUUCCACCAUUUUUAACUCAGUGGUUCCAUUUACAGACCAAGCAUAAAUGCUCAUCUUCCCCAGAGCCCGAGCAUGUAUCAAGAAGAAAUGCUUGCAGCAUCAACACAAAGCUUCUGCAAUCAGCACCCAGCUUCCAUGGAGGCCUUUUCUACAUGUGUGUGCAGCCAUAGAAUCAUGGAGCACCCCGAGCUGGAAGGGACCCUCAAUAUAACUGACUCCUGGCUCCCCAGAGGAACACUGCAUGGUAUCACCCAGCUACUGGCAGAGCAGCAGUUAAAAUCAGCAUCUGCAUAGGACCAUUCCCAGCACCCUUAUCCCCUUAGAGCUAUCAGAUCAGCACAGCAGAGCUCACAUUAGAGCUUGUGCUAGUAGCCGAGUUUCUCUUUGCUUCAGAACCUCGGCAGCCAAGGAAAGUUUCCUCGUGGGGAUGAGGUGAAAGGUAUGUGGGUUUUGUGAGACAAUCAACAGUUUUAAAGACACGGAAAUCUCACCAGGUGAUGUAGAAAUGCUUACUCUGUGGUUGCACAGUAGUGACUCCAUAGUAGAACUAAAUGAUGGCAUUAAGAGUUUGGGGAACAGCAAAAUGCACGAAUCUCUGUAUCUUCAUCUCUCUUGUGGGUUAUCAUCACACAGAUUAGCCUUAAUUAGAACAAACUCUUUGAUUGCCUCUUUUGUCCGCUGGAGGUCAGUAUCCUACAGAAAUACAACUCCUCUUUCCUGGUGUAAGGGUUUGCAGAGGAUAACAAUCUCGUAGCAGCAUCCGAUUUUUCUGUCAUAGGAUUUUAAGGUUUCUGGUACAAUGAGAUGAAAACAGAAGCCUGUUCUGAGUCCUGCACUGCCAAGGGAAGAUCUCCCUUCUCAAUCAACCUGGCAUUUUCCGACUAUCACAUGAAGAAUUCAGCAAACUUCAGACUUACUCAUUUCCGAGGUGCACACCUGGCCUUGUAUUUUAGACAGAUGCCAAAGCAUAACUGCUUGAUGAUAGAUUUUUUUUGCUACCUAUUUAAUCUUACUUGGCUCAUUUUGCAGGAUUAGCUCCAGAGCCGCCGGCUGUUUGGGCUGCUGCACAAACUGUGUAGGAACGCAACGCUGCACCACGCUGCUUUCAAAACCCAUCUGCAAUGCUCCAUCAUCGAUCAGCAGCACCUUGCUUGGCACAUCAAAGAGGUGGCCUUUUGCCUCUCCACAGCCUAGCGACACAUAAUGCUGAAGAAUCACAAUAGUAGAUUAAAGUGUGUCCUGGAAACAUAAAUGGAUGUGCAAACAGCUGUUUGGCAGUGCAGUAUCACAGCCACCUUUCAGGCACUGUCCAUAUCAGCACUGGAUUACAUUCUGAGGAAAAUCUCCUGCUCAUUCUUACUUGCCAUGCUUUAAUUCACAUGAUGGAGCAGUGCAUGGAUUCAGUUCCUUCCCGCUGAAUGUUCUCACUGAAGCGGGUUUUUUGUCCACAGAUCAAGACUAGAGAUAGAAUAAGGUGAAUUCUUGAAACGGGGAUAGGACUGACCAGCACCGCCUGCUCCAACUUAUGGACUCGCUCUCUCUGAAGUUCACUUAACACAGAGACAGCUGACGUGCUAGUUGGCCUCAUGGCUGCCUAAGCAGCAGUUUCGCCUGUCUGCAGUAGUGUGCUUGUCAUCUGUAGAUCUGAAGGUAGUUUGAGUAGAGAGAAAGUAAUGCUUUGAAGGACCCCACUGUCUGUCUAUUGAAACACCAAGUGGAAAACACGAGGCAUAAAGUCUGAGCCGAUGCAACAGUCCCUGAAGAGCUGUAUCUGAAGAGCUGUAACUUUCAAACUUUACAUUAACUUCUAUUCUAACACACUGAUGGUGCCCUGAUAUCUUUAGUUCUGUUCUGUCAAGAAAACAUGUUGUAAGGGGUCAGUCACUGUCCCAGGAGGUGUUUAAUAAACAUGGAGAUGUGGCACUGAGGGACGCGGUCAGUGGGCACUGGGGAGAAGGGUUGGGGCAGAACUGGAUGAUCUUAGAGGUUUUUUCCAGUGUUAAUGGUUUUAUCAUUCUAUGUUUUACCCACAAAUUCCUUAAAUAUCCUACCACCUUGAACCCGUGGCUUACUUUCUGCACAGAAGACAUUCCUGGUUCACUGGACUCCUUUUAAUAGCUCUUGCAUUCAUGAAUUUUGAAAGGGAUCUAUUUAUCAUUUAAAUGUCAUGUUAACUCUAUUCAUCCUAAUCCAGUAGCAAGGCACUGCCAGCACUGUUUGUGCUCCCAUGUCUCAUCUGAUCAGUGAAGGAAAUAAAAGCUGAAGCGGACAAAAGGAUGGAUUGAAAAUAAAGGUCAUUACAUAUUGGAAUUGAUAAGGUGAAGAAAAUGAAAUACAUAAGGUAAUCUCCAGGGAGAAGGUUAAAACUUAGCCUCACAGGGGAGUUCUGUAUGGAGAUGGAAUAAAACAAAGAAGUAUCAUCAAU